AGCGAACGCUGGCGGCAGGCCUAACACAUGCAAGUCGAACGAAGUCUUCGGACUUAGUGGCGGACGGGUGAGUAACACGUGGGAACGUACCUUUUGGUUCGGAACAACUCAGGGAAACUUGAGCUAAUACCGGAUGAGCCCUUAGGGGGAAAGAUUUAUCGCCGAAAGAGCGGCCCGCGUUAGAUUAGCUAGUUGGUGAGGUAAAGGCUCACCAAGGCUACGAUCUAUAGCUGGUCUGAGAGGAUGAUCAGCCACACCGGGACUGAGACACGGCCCAGACUCCUACGGGAGGCAGCAGUGGGGGGUCUUGCGCAAUGGGCGAAAGCCUGACGCAGCCAUGCCGCGUGAAUGAUGAAGGUCUUAGGAUUGUAAAAUUCUUUUACCAGGGACGAUAAUGACGGUACCUGGAGAAAAAGCCCCGGCUAACUUCGUGCCAGCCGCCGCGGUAACAC
rnacentral:rRNA from 1 species